rnacentral:rRNA from 1 species
AUGGGAUCCGUGACGGCGUCGACGACGGCAAAGCCCAUCCUCCGUGUGGCCGCCAUCUCCGGCUCCCUCCGCAGCAACUCUUGGCACGUCGGCCUCAUCCGUGCGGCCGAGGAGAUGUGCGAGGAGUCCAUCCCGGGGCUGCGCAUCGACCAUAUCGACAUCUCUGGACUGCCCAUGGCCAACCCAGACUUGGAGACGGACGGCGGCGACGGCUUCCAGGGGCACGCACAAAUGCUGGGCCGACAAGGCAGCGGCGAUCGUAUGCGCCGGGGGCGACUUUGGGCGUAUGAGGACCCGCCCAAGUUGAACGGCGAGGGGAACCUCAUCGACGCCAAAGCCAGAGAGCGGCUCAAGAAGGUGCUCCUCUCGCUGCAGGCCUUCGCGCUCAGGCUGCAACGCAGGGAGAAUUGA